AUGAUUUCUCCCUUCGAUUCCUACUUCCUCUGUUCUCUAGAAUAUUGUUGUUGGUUGGAAUCUAUUGUUACAACAAGAAGCUGCACGCUACACCAAUUCAUUACCAUUUACUUUAACAUAGAUUAUUUCAUAUGGUUAUUGGUCAAGACGCAAAAGGCUAUGUUAAUGGUGGUGAAUUCACCAUGA